GACGAACGCUGGCGGCGUGCUUAACACAUGCAAGUCGAACGGAAAGGCCCUGCUUUUGUGGGGUGCUCGAGUGGCGAACGGGUGAGUAACACGUGAGUAACCUGCCCUUGACUUUGGGAUAACUUCAGGAAGCUGGGGCUAAUACCGGAUAGGAGCUCCUGCUGCAUGGUGGGGGUUGGAAAGUUUCGGCGGUUGGGGAUGGACUCGCGGCUUAUCAGCUUGUUGGUGGGGUAGUGGCUUACCAAGGCUUUGACGGGUAGCCGGCCUGAGAGGGUGACCGGCCACAUUGGGACUGAGAUACGGCCCAGACUCCUACGGGAGGCAGCAGUGGGGAAUAUUGCACAAUGGGCGGAAGCCCGAUGCAGCAACGCCGCGUGCGGGAUGACGGCCUUCGGGUUGUAAACCGCUUUCGCCUGUGACGAAGCGUGAGUGACGGUAAUGGGUAAAGAAGCACCGGCUAACUACGUG
rnacentral:rRNA from 1 species